rnacentral:tRNA from 2 species
GCCUCUUUAGCUCAGUUGGUAGAGCGACGCUUUCGUAAAGCGUAGGUCGUUGGUUCGAACCCAAUAGGAGGCU